AGAGUUUGAUCCUGGCUCAGAACGUACGCUGGCGGCACGCCUAACACAUGCAAGUCGAACGAAGUAGCAAUACUUAGUGGCGAACGGGUGAGUAUAAUGUGGGUAUCUGCCCUUUGGUUUGGAAUAACACGAGGAAACUUGUGCUAAUACCGGAUAAGCCUUCACAGGGAAAGCUUUAGCGCCAAAGGAUGAGCCCGCACUUGAUUAGCUAGUUGGUAAGGUAAUGGCUUACCAAGGCUACGAUCAAUAGCUGAUCUGAGAGGAUGAUCAGCCACAUUGGGACUGAGACACGGCCCAAACUUCUACGGAAGGCAGCAGUGGGGAGUCUUGCACAAUGGGGGAAACCCUGAUGCAGCGAUGCCGCGUGAGUGAAGAAGGCCCUUGGGUUGUAAAGCUCUUUCGUCGGGGAAGAAAAUGACUGUACCCGAAUAAGAAGGUCCGGCUAACUUCGUGCCAGCAGCCGCGGUAAUACGAAGGGACCUAGCGUAGUUCGGAAUUACUGGGCUUAAAGAGUUCGUAGGUGGUUAAAAAAGUUGGUGGUGAAAUCCCAGAGCUUAACUCUGGAACUGCCAUCAAAACUUUUUAGCUAGAGUAUGAUAGAGGAAAGUAGAAUUUCUAGUGUAGAGGUGAAAUUCGUAGAUAUUAGAAAGAAUACCAAUUGCGAAGGCAGCUUUCUGGAUCAUUACUGACACUGAGGAACGAAAGCAUGGGUAGCGAAGAGGAUUAGAUACCCUCGUAGUCCAUGCCGUAAACGAUGUGUGCUAGACGUUGGAAAUUUAUUUUCAGUGUCGCAGCGAAAGCGUUAAGCACACCGCCUGGGGAGUACGACCGCAAGGUUAAAACUCAAAUGAAUUGACGGGGACCCGCACAAGUAGUGGAGCAUGUGGUUUAAUUCGAAGAUACGCGCAGAACCUUACCAACACUUGACAUGUUCGUCGCGACUCUAAGAAAUUAGAGUUUUCGGUUCGGCCGGACGAAACACAGGUGCUGCAUGGCUGUCGUCAGCUCGUGUCGUGAGAUGUUGGGUUAAGUCCCGCAACGAGCGCAACCCUUACUUUUAGUUGCUACCAUUUAGUUGGGCACUCUAAAAGAACUGCCAGUGAUAAGCUGGAGGAAGGUGGGGAUGACGUCAAGUCCUCAUGGCCCUUACGUGUUGGGCUACACACGUGCUACAAUGGUACUCACAAUGGGAAGCAAAGAGGCGACUCUAAGCAAAUCCCAAAAAGGUACCUCAGUUCGGAUUGUACUCUGCAACUCGAGUACAUGAAGCUGGAAUUACUAGUAAUCGUGGAUCAGCGCGCCACGGUGAAUACGUUCCCGGGUCUUGUACACACCGCCCGUCACACCAUGGAAGUUGGUUACACCUUAAGGCAAAGCAUAAAACCUUUGACUACGGUACGAUCAGCGACUGGGGUGAAGUCGUAACAAGGUAACC
rnacentral:rRNA from 1 species